rnacentral:misc_RNA from 1 species
UUAACUUAUUCGGUUGUUACUCGGACGUACGGAUACAGAGUUGGUGUGGUCCACCGGGGGCCCCGACGCCCGAGAGGGCCGGGUCGCCCCCGAGGCAACAGAGUCGGAUAUCAAAGGGUUGGAGGUUGGGCCCAGAGGACCCUCGCUCGGUAAUGAUCCCUCCGCAGGUUCACCUACGGAGA